AUUGAACGCUGGCGGCAUGCCUUACACAUGCAAGUCGAACGGCAGCACGGGAGCAAUCCUGGUGGCGAGUGGCGAACGGGUGAGUAAUAUAUCGGAACGUGCCCAGUCGUGGGGGAUAACGCAGCGAAAGCUGUGCUAAUACCGCAUACGAUCUAUGGAUGAAAGCGGGGGAUCGGAAGACCGCGCGCGAUUGGAGCGGCGGAUAUCAGAUUAGCUAGUUGGUGAGGUAAAGGCUCACCAAGGCGACGAUCUGUAGCUGGUCUGAGAGGACGACCAGCCACACUGGAACUGAGACACGGUCCAGACUCCUACGGGAGGCAGCAGUGGGGAAUUUUGGACAAUGGGCGAAAGCCUGAUCCAGCAAUGCCGCGUGCAGGACGAAGGCCUUCGGGUUGUAAACUGCUUUUGUACGGAACGAAACGGUGAGCUCUAAUACAGUUUGCUAAUGACGGUACCGUAAGAAUAAGCACCGGCUAACUACGUGCCAGCCGCCGCCGUAA
rnacentral:rRNA from 1 species